AGUAGACGUUCAGAGUUUGAUCCUGGCUCAGGAUGAACGCUGGCGGCGUGCUUAACACAUGCAAGUCGAACGGACUUUACAUGAAGCCUAGCGAAUGUAAAGUUAGUGGCGGACGGGUGAGUAACGCGUGGGUAACCUGCCAUAUGCUGGGGGACAACAGUUAGAAAUGACUGCUAAUACCGCAUAAGCGCACAGUAUCGCAUGAUACAGUGUGAAAAACUCCGGUGGCAUAUGAUGGACCCGCGCCUGAUUAGCUAGUUGGUGAGGUAACGGCUCACCAAGGCGACGAUCAGUAGCCGGCCUGAGAGGGUGAACGGCCACAUUGGGACUGAGACACGGCCCAA
rnacentral:rRNA from 1 species